UACAGAGGGUGCAAGCGUUGUUCGGAAUUAUUGGGCGUAAAGCGCGUGUAGGCGGCCGUGCAAGUCGGGUGUGAAAGCCCUCAGCUCAACUGAGGAAGUGCGCCCGAAACUGCAUGGCUUGAGUACCGGAGAGGAUGGCGGAAUUCCCGAAGUAGAGGUGAAAUGCGUAGAUAUCUGGAGGAACACCCGUGGCGAAGGCGGCUCUCUGGUCCGAUACUGACGCUGAGGCGCGAAAGCUAGGGUAGCAAACAGG
rnacentral:rRNA from 1 species